UACGGGGGGGGUAAGCGUUGUUCGGAAUUACUGGGCGUAAAGGGCUCGUAGGCGGCCAACUAAGUCAUACGUGAAAUCCCUCAGCUUAACUGGGGAACUGCGUGUGAUACUGGAUGGCUUGGAUUUGGGAGAGGGAUGCGGAAUUCCAGGUGUAGCGGUGAAAUGCGUAGAUAUCUGGAGGAACACCGGUGGCGAAGGCGGCGUCCUGGACCGGCAUUGACGCUGAGGAGCGAAAGCCAGGGGAGCAAACGGG
rnacentral:rRNA from 1 species